UGGGGAAUCUUGCGCAAUGGACGAAAGUCUGACGGAGCAACGCCGCGUGAGUGAUGAAGGUUUUCGGAUCGUAAAGCUCUGUUGCCAGGGAAGAAUGCUUGGGAGAGUAACUGCUCCCAAGGUGACGGUACCUGAGAAGAAAGAAGCCGGCUAACUACGUGC
rnacentral:rRNA from 1 species